GCCAGACUCCUACGGGAGGCAGCAGUGGGGAAUAUUGCACAAUGGGGGAAACCCUGAUGCAGCGACGCCGCGUGAGUGAAGAAGUAUUUCGGUAUGUAAAGCUCUAUCAGCAGGGAAGAAAAACCGACCUUAGGGUCGCUAGACGGUACCUGAUUAAGAAGCCCCGGCUAACUACGUGCCAGCAGCCGCGGUAAUACGUAGGUGGCAAGCGUUAUCCGGAUUUACUGGGUGUAAAGGGCGUGUAGGCGGGAAAGCAAGUCAGAUGUGAAAACCAUGGGCUCAACCUGUGGCCUGCAUUUGAAACUGUUUUUCUUGAGUACUGGAGAGGCAGACGGAAUUCCUAGUGUAGCGGUGAAAUGCGUAGAUAUUAGGAGGAACACCAGUGGCGAAGGCGGUCUGCUGGACAGCAACUGACGCUGAGGCGCGAAAGCGUGGGGAGCAAACAGGAUUAGAUACCCCAGUA
rnacentral:rRNA from 1 species